UACGUAGGGGGCAAGCGUUGCUCGGAAUGACUGGGCGUAAAGGGCGCGUAGGCGGUUUGCACAGUCGGGCGUGAAAUUCCAGGGCUCAACCUUGGGGCUGCGUUCGAGACGUGUGGGCUAGAGUGUGGAAGAGGGUCGUGGAAUUCCCAGUGUAGAGGUGAAAUUCGUAGAUAUUCGGAAGAACACCAGUGGCGAAGGCGACUUACUGGGACACAUAUUGACGCUGAGGUGCGAAAGCGUGGGGAGCAAACAGG
rnacentral:rRNA from 1 species